rnacentral:rRNA from 1 species
AGUGAACGCUGGCGGUAGGCCUAACACAUGCAAGUCGAACGGCAGCACAGUAAGAGCUUGCUCUUACGGGUGGCGAGUGGCGGACGGGUGAGGAAUACAUCGGAAUCUACUUUUUCGUGGGGGAUAACGUAGGGAAACUUACGCUAAUACCGCAUACGACCUACGGGUGAAAGCAGGGGAUCUUCGGACCUUGCGCGAUUGAAUGAGCCGAUGUCGGAUUAGCUAGUUGGCGGGGUAAAGGCCCACCAAGGCGACGAUCCGUAGCUGGUCUGAGAGGAUGAUCAGCCACACUGGAACUAGGACACGGUCCAGACUCCUGCGGGAGGCAGCAGUGGGGAAUAUUGGACAAUGGGCGCAAGCCUGAUCCAGCCAUACCGCGUGGGUGAAGAAGGCCUUCGGGUUGUAAAGCCCUUUUGUUGGGAAAGAAAAGCAGCAGGUUAAUACCCCGCUGUUCUGACGGUACCCAAAGAAUAAGCACCGGCUAACUUCGUG